rnacentral:misc_RNA from 1 species
UUUCCGUAGGUGAACCUGCGGAAGGAUCAUUAUCAAAACAGCGGACUUCGGUCCUUGCUGCACCCUUGUCUUUUGCGUACCGUAUGUUUCCUCGGCGGGCUUGCCUGCCGGUUGGACAUUAUCAAACCUUUUUGUAGUUGCAAUCAGCGUCAGAAAACAAAUAAUAAUUACAACUUUCAACAACGGAUCUCUUGGUUCUG